UUUUUUUUUUUUUUUUUGUCUUUCUGCCUUUUCUAGGGGUGCUCCCGCGGCCUAUGGAGGUUCCCAGGCUAUGGGUCGAAUGGGAGCUGUAGCCGCCAGCCUACACCACAGCAACGCCAGAUCUGAGCCAAGUCUGCAACCUACACCACAGCUCAAGGCAACGCUGGAUCCUUAACCCACUGAGAGAGGCCAGGAAUAGAACUCGCAACCUCAUGGUUCCUAGUCGGAUUCAUUGACCACUGCGCCACGACGGGAACUCACCUUCAACCCUUCUUGGUUGACAUUUCCAAACACACUCAGAAGAAGCGAGAAAGGCACCGUGGACCCAACGGCUGUGCCCCCCACCCCACCCCCCACACCUCAGCAUCUGUCAUCUUUCAAUCGAAGUCACUUCUGCAAAUGAUAUCAGUUCACCUGUAAUAUGUCAGUGGGGGCUUCUAACAGCUUGGAUGCCAUCUUUUGCGGUAUCAGAUCCAGCCCUGAAAUUGUUCCCAUCCAGCUCUUUUUGUCCUGCACACACACGCACACACACACACACACAAUACACAUACACACCCACACCCCACACACAGGAAAUUCAGAGCAUUCAACGUAAUACACAGCCACAAUACUACAGCCUAAAUUUCCAACUGAUUUUUAACAGCUGGGCAGAAGGACUCUGAAGAGGACACAGAUUUGGGAAACCAACUGUGUCCCCACAGACUGUCCCUCCCUGCCUGCUGUAGGCAGCAGCACAGAAAGCUCAGCGCAGCCCCAAGUGGACACGGCGAGAGGGGCACUGUGGGUGGGAUUAAGCACCUGGAGAGGAGCCCUUGGGUGGCAGAGGUCGGGGAGGAGGGAAGGUGCUGGGCUGUGACUUUGCAGGGGGAGGAUGGGGCCAGAAGCCAAGGAAUGUGGGUGCCUCUAGAAGCCAGAAAAGGCAAGAAACAGAUUCUCCCCUGGAGCCUCUGAAGGAACCAGCCCUGCCAGCCCCCGGACGUCCGUCCAGUGAGACCGAGUUGAGCCAUCUCCGUCACAACUGCAGGAAAACAAAUCCAUGCUGUGCGAGGCCACCGAACUUGAAGCUGAUACACUUUCACAUGACACACGUUUGGGAAACAGCAUUUGCAGUGAUUACCCCAUUCCCAGGGUCCCUAGAACCGGAAUUCGUGCCACACUAAGCCUGAGGAAGUGUAAGGUGCUUUGCAGAACAGCAGUCCCAAGGCGUUCCCGCUGCACUGCACUGGGUUAAGACGACAACUGUGGCAGCUCAGGUCACUGCAGAGGUGCAGGUUGGAUCCCCUGCCUGGUGCGGCGGGUUAAAGGAUCCGGUGUUGCUGCAGCAGUGGCACAGGUCACAGCUGUGGCUCGGAUUCGACCCCUGGCCUGUGAACUUGCAUUCGCCAAGGGUGCAGCCAUUAAAAAAAGUAAAGAACAGAAGCCGGGAAAGGUGGUGACUACAGAUACUGCCGACACCAGAGCCAAAAGCCUCACCCUUCAGGGAUGGCACACACACGUGUGCACACACACACACACACACACACAAGCACACACGCGUGCGCACGUACAUGCACACACAUGUGCAGGUGUGAAGCGUCAUGACCACACAGCGGGAAUGAGUGAGCAGGCAGGUGUUUUUUGGUCCUGGACUCUUCCUAUUAUUCUAGUCCUUUCGAAAAUCACACAGACCAGACGAAGCCUUCCUGGAACCACCCUGACCUCAAUCUUCUCAUUGUCUAUUUUGCUAUUUUUAUCAGAAUUCAUUAUUUUCACAUUCAUCCAAUUAGCGUCCUGUUUACCAAUACCUCGUUUUUUAAUUUGCAGCUUCAUCCUAAAACCUCGGCAGGACGUUCACAACCCGAGUUCUCCUCCCUCAUUACUGCCAAGUAAUUAGUCAACGAGAGUCCCUGAUCAGAAGCUAAGAGGCCGGGAGCGAGUUGGAGCUUGCCUGACUCCGAGAGAGGAAAAAAAAAAAAAAAAAAGACGGCGUCUCUCCUAAUUGCAGGGGUUUUGUGGGUUGUCACUGGGGAGGGGGAAGCAGAGGAUUGUAGCGUGAAAGGAGAGGGCUCUUUAAUCCCGGGGGGCUUUGCAGAUCCCAGCUUAGCAAACACUGAGGGUGGCUCCUUAAUCUGCAUGCUAAUGACCAGGGCCCUCCCUCUGUGGGCGGGGGGGGGGGGGGGCCCGAGAUGUUAAAUUUGCAUGGCACACACUGCAAAAAAGGAGACCCUAAGUGCCCGGCAGGCAGCCGGGUGCAAAGAGGGCGGUUUGACUUGUGCAUUCAAUUGCAUCCUGCCUGGACAGCAGGGCCUCUAAAACGGGGGACGCAGCGUUCCCUCUCGCAGCCCCGUCGGCUCUGCAGAGGCGAGGUGCCUCUCUGUGGCAUGUCAAAUCACCUGCUCUGACAUCAGUUCUUGGGAGGGCAGGACCCACACUGGGCCCCGGGCUGCUCUCCUGGUCCCCACGCUGGCCACAGCCCCCCACCCCCACGGCAGCCCGGCUGGAGUGGGCAGCACUCAGGAGGAGCCUCUUUCUGGCAGGCGGGCACCGCUGUGAGAGCCCGGAACCCGCCCAGAAGAACCCCGGGACUUUCUUACGUGUCUCGGCCCAAAGGAGAAACAGCCCAGGAAGCGACGUCUGAAAUCACAGGGCAUCAGGCAGGAAGGCAUCCUUCUUCCCUGCCCCCUCUGAAGGACUUAGUGCCACCCAGGCAUCCUUGUCCGCAGGAGAAGCCACCUGCCCAAUCAGCCGAACCCACCCCCCCAUUGCCCACCCCUCAGGGCCUGAGCCUCGAAGCAGCAGGCGAGCAAUUAGAGCCACCCCCUCCACCCAGGGCCUCAGGGGGUGACUUGCCACCUGGCACCGGGUGGGGACACACCAGGGACAGGUCCUUCCCACGUGCAGCCACCCUGAGCAGGACCACAAAGGAGACACCCAGCCCAGUCCCGCACCCAGGCCCCUGCACCCUGGCUGGCAGGAGGCGGACUGGGCAGUGCCCGGGGGUUGGGGUGGGAAUCCUGGACCAACCUUCCCUGGGGCCCCCUGCAUCUCCCCAUCCCGCCACCCGGGGUUCUCAUGUUUAUGCCCAUGGGCCACUCAGUGGGCGCUCACAGGGGAACCCCAGCUUGGACUCCUACAAGGAGGAGGCAGAUGGGUGCCCCUGCCCAUGGAUGAAGAGCCUGGGGACUCCGUCCAAGGCUUUGGAAGGGCCAGGCCUGCUCCGCACUACUCGCCCAGAGCCCUGCCAGCUGUGCCCUCUGUGCCCCGCCCCGGUGCUGGGCAUGGGCCGCCAGUCCCAACCUGGAUGACUUGGUCUGAGCUUUCUGGCUGCAGUGCCCAUCGGUGGGGUGGGGCGGGGGAUAAACACCCAGAUACGUGUACAUUGGGGGUGCAGGUAGGAAUGUCCCUACUGCCACAGUUCUACCUCAGCCUUGGACCCAGAACACCAUGGGAGAACAGAAGAGGUGGGCAGGGCUGCAGCAGGUUCUGAGCCAGUGCCCCCUGCCCUCCAGCUCCCAGGUCCAUCUUGGGGGCUCGCUCUCUGGGAGCCUAAUUCCAGCACCAAGGCCCACAGAGAUGCCGGCCACUGGCCCUCUAGAGUGCCCCAAAUGUCCACUCCACAGGCCUAAGACCUGCCUUCAGUGUUCGCAUCUCCUUUCAAGGACCCUGGCAGAUCCCUGCCUCUGUCUGGUUCCCUCUGAGGUCCCUCCCACUCACCUCCCACCCAGGCUGAUUCCCCACUCCACCCCCACCUCUAGGCACCUGAGUGGCUCUGUCCAGUGUGUCUGCUCUCUCUCCCAGCUCUGUGGGCCCAAGCACAACUGGGAAGAUGGGGUGCUGGGGCUUGAAUGGGUGGUCUGUUUUCCAGGACACCGGGGCUGUGAAUGGGUGGGCAGGGGUCGGGGUUGGCAAGAGCUGGUAAGUGGCGGAGCGGCCCCCUCCACCCUUGGCCUUGGGGAGGGGGAGAGGCUGCCUCUUGUUCUUUCAUAAAGAAGGAAUGGCUUAGAACGAGUUUCUGCACAUUCGUGCCACGGCCUCUCCCUCCCCCCCGCCACGGGGCAGUCCCAGGCUACUUCUUGGAAGAUUAUUUCAAAUGCAUACAGUAAAAUACCCAAGAUUACAAAGGAAACCAAUGACACCAAAUUACAGUUAUUCUAGCAGGUUGAACAGCACCCCAUCCCCCAAAAGAUAUAUCUACCCCAAGCCUUAGCAUGUGAAUUUAUCUGGAAUUAGGGCCUUUUAGAUGUGUACAAUAAAGAUCUCAAGAUGGUCACCCUGGAUUAGAGUGGGCCCUAAAUUCAGUAAGUGUCCUUAAAGAGGCAGAAACCAGAAACGGAGAGACAGGGACACAGUGAGAAGGCUUCGUGAACUCCAAGGCAGGAAUUGGGGUGACGGGUCUACAAGCCCAGGACUCCGAGGGGGAAUCGGACAGAUUCCCCCUCGGAGCCUCCCAUGGGAAGCAGCCUUGCUCACAUCUGGAUUUCGGGCUUCUGGCCUCCAGAUCCCCUCUUUCACGGAGGUCCGUUCAGCCAGCCCAGGGCGGAACACAGGUCUGUAUUGUAAGGGCUGACUGUACUAGAAAGAGAAGUCCUGAUACGAUGAGGCUGAUGGCUCAUUUCAAUCCAGCGAUAAGCACAAACGAAAUUUUGAGGUUUCUGCAGGAACAAUCACAAUGAAAGCAUCACCGAUUCCAUUGAAGAGAAUUUUCGUUUUCUUUGGGUCUCUCAUUUGGGGGAGUAUCGCUAGGAAGAUAAAGCUCUUUUGAGGAACAAAUGUCUUCUCUGCAAAGCAAGAUCGGCUGAAAGUGCACUUGAACGCGGCCAGACAGAAAGUUUAUGCCCGCUUGUGCACAUGCUCAGAGCCACCUUCAACUUUGAUGAAAGCUUGUCUCUCUCUCUUUUUUUUUUUUUU
rnacentral:lncRNA from 1 species